rnacentral:rRNA from 1 species
GACGAACGCUGGCGGCGUGCCUAAUACAUGCAAGUGGGACGCAAGGAAACACACUGUGCUUGCACACCGUGUUUUCUUGAGUCGCGAACGGGUGAGUAACGCGUAGGUAACCUGCCUAUUAGCGGGGGAUAACUAUUGGAAACGAUAGCUAAUACCGCAUAAUAUUAAUUAUUGCAUGAUAAUUGAUUGAAAGAUGCAAGCGCAUCACUAGUAGAUGGACCUGCGUUGUAUUAGCUAGUUGGUAAGGUAAGAGCUUACCAAGGCGACGAUACAUAGCCGACCUGAGAGGGUGAUCGGCCACACUGGGACUGAGACACGGCCCAGACUCCUACGGGAGGCAGCAGUAGGGAAUCUUCGGCAAUGGACGAAAGUCUGACCGAGCAACGCCGCGUGAGUGAAGAAGGUUUUCGGGUCGUAAAGCUCUGUUGUAAGUCAAGAACGUGUGUGAGAGUGGAAAGUUCACACAGUGACGGUAGCUUACCAGAAAGGGACGGCUAACUACGUG